rnacentral:rRNA from 1 species
GCAAGUCGAGGGGCAGCAUUGUCGAAGCUUGCUUUGACAGAUGGCGACCGGCGCACGGGUGAGUAACGCGUAUCCAACCUUCCCCUUAGUAGAGGAUAGCCCGGCGAAAGUCGGAUUAAUACUCUAUGUUAUUCGUUGAGGACAUCUGAAAUGAAUCAAAGGUUUACCGCUAAGGGAUGGGGAUGCGUCUGAUUAGGUUGUUGGCGGGGUAACGGCCCACCAAGCCCACGAUCAGUAGGGGUUCUGAGAGGAAGGUCCCCCACAUUGGAACUGAGACACGGUCCAAACUCCUACGGGAGGCAGCAGUGAGGAAUAUUGGUCAAUGGACGGAAGUCUGAACCAGCCAAGUAGCGUGCAGGAUGACGGCCCUAUGGGUUGUAAACUGCUUUUGUACGGGAAUAAAGUCGGGGACGUGUCCCCGUUUGUAUGUACCGUAAGAAUAAGGACCGGCUAAUUCCGUGCCAGCAGCCGCGGUAAUACGGAAGGUCCGGGCGUUAUCCGGAUUUAUUGGGUUUAAAGGGAGCGCAGGCUGGAGAUUAAGCGUGACGUGAAAUGCCGCGGCUCAACCGUGGAAGUGCGUCGCGAACUGGUUUCCUUGAGUGUAUUCGACGUCAGCGGAAUUCGUGGUGUAGCGGUGAAAUGCUUAGAUAUCACGAAGAACUCCGAUUGCGAAGGCAGCUGGCGAGGCUAUAACUGACGCUAAAGCUCGAAGGUGCGGGUAUCGAACAGGAUUAGAUACCCUGGUAGUCCGCACGGUAAACGAUGGAUGCCCGCUGUAUGCGAUAUACUGUAUGCGGCCAAGCGAAAGCGUUAAGCAUCCCACCUGGGGAGUACGCCGGCAACGGUGAAACUCAAAGGAAUUGACGGGGGCCCGCACAAGUGGAGGAACAUGUGGUUUAAUUCGAUGAUACGCGAGGAACCUUACCCGGGCUUGAACUGCAGGAGAACGAUUCAGAGAUGAUGAGGCCCUUCGGGGCUCCUGUGGAGGUGCUGCAUGGUUGUCGUCAGCUCGUGCCGUGAGGUGUCGGCUUAAGUGCCAUAACGAGCGCAACCCCUAUUGUUAGUUGCUACGCAAGAGCACUCUAGCGAGACUGCCGUUGACAAAACGGAGGAAGGUGGGGACGACGUCAAAUCAUCAUGCCCCUUAUGUCCUGGGCUACACACGUAAUACAAUGGCGAUCAACAGAGGGAAGCGAAACUGUGAGGUAGAGCGAAUCCCUAAAAGUCGUCUCAGUUCGGAUUGCAGGCUGCAACUCGCCUGUAUGAAGUCGGAAUUGCUAGUAAUCGCGGAUCAGCAUGCCGCGGUGAAUACGUUCCCGGGCCUUGUACACACCGCCCGUCACACCAUGGGAGCCGGUAAU